rnacentral:rRNA from 1 species
AAAAGAAAACAAUAGUGAUGCCUCUAGUAACGGCGAGUGAAGCAGGCAAAGCCCAACUUUAAAAUCUGGCGCUUUCAGCGUCCGAGUUGUAGUCUCGAGAAGCAUGGCUCGUGUCGGUCCGCGUCAAACUGGUUCGGAUGCCAGGUCAUAGAGGGUGACAAUCCCGUUGGCAACGNGGCCUCCCGAUGCAUCAGCAGUCUGCUCUCCAAGAGUCGAGUUGUUUGGGAAUGCAGCUCUAAUUAGGUGGUAAAUUCCAUCCAAGGCUAAAUAUCGGCGGGAGACCGAUAGCGAACAAGUACCGUGAGGGAAAGAUGAAAAGCACUUUGGAAAGAGAAUGAAAGAGUAUGUGAAAUUGCUGGAAGGGAAACGCUUGAAGUCAGAUACGCGCGGGGGUAUUCAGCCUGGUUCGCCGGGUGCAUUUGCCCUCAUUGCGCGCCAGCAUCGGUUCGUGGGGCCGCAGCAGCGCGGUGGGAAUGUGGCCGUCUCCGGGCGGUGUUAAGCCCGCCGUUGUGGUCGGACCCGUGGACCGAGGAUCGCAGUGCGCCGCAAGGCAGCUCUCGAGGGAGUAAAGCACUUAGGAUGCUGGCGGAAUGGCUUUAAACGACCCGU